AUUAUUUUAUGAAUAAAGUAUAUUUUUGAAAUAAAAAAAAAGUUUCUCCCAGGACGAGGCUAUCCCAUUGCACUUCGGGUGUGCUGAGGCCUGCGAUGUCCCCAAAUGCGGGAUACUCGACUGCAAAAUUUGUGGUAGUGGGAGACUGCGUUCGCGCUCUCCCCUG